rnacentral:rRNA from 1 species
CCUACGGGUGGCAGCAGUGAGGAAUAUUGGUCAAUGGGCGCUAGCCUGAACCAGCCAAGUCGCGUGAAGGAUGACUGCCCUAUGGGUUGUAAACUUCUUUUAUAGGGGAAUAAAGUGCGGUACGUGUACCGUUUUGCAUGUACCUUAUGAAUAAGGAUCGGCUAACUCCGUGCCAGCAGCCGCGGUAAUACGGAGGAUCCGAGCGUUAUCCGGAUUUAUUGGGUUUAAAGGGUGCGUAGGUGGGUUGUUAAGUCAGUUGUGAAAGUUUGCGGCUCAACCGUAAAAUUGCAGUUGAUACUGGCAGCCUUGAGUACAGUAGAGGUAGGCGGAAUUCGUGGUGUAGCGGUGAAAUGCGUAGAUAUCACGAAGAACUCCGAUUGCGAAGGCAGCCUGCUGGACUGUGACUGACGCUGAUGCUCGAAAGUGUGGGUAUCAAACAGGAUUAGAUACCCCAGUAGUC